UACAGAGGUCUCAAGCGUUGUUCGGAUUCAUUGGGCGUAAAGGGUGCGUAGGCCGCACGGUAAGUCAGAUGUGAAAUCUCAGGGCUCAACUCUGAAAUUGCAUCCGAUACUGCCGUGCUUGAGGACUGGAGAGGAGUCUGGAAUUCAUGGUGGAGCAGUGAAAUGCGUAGAUAUCAUGAGGAACGCUAGUGGCGUAGGCGAGACUCUGGACAGUUCCUGACGCUGAGGCACGAAGGCCAGGGGAGCAAACGGG
rnacentral:rRNA from 1 species